GAUGAACGCUGGCGGCGUGCCUAAUACAUGCAAGUAGAACGCUGAAGGAAGGAGCUUGCUCUUUCCGGAUGAGUUGCGAACGGGUGAGUAACGCGUAGGUAACCUUCCUGGUAGCGGGGGAUAACUAUUGGAAACGAUAUCUAAUACCGCAUAACAGUAGAUGUUGCAUGAUAUCUACUUAAAAGGUGCAAUUGCACCACUACCAGAUGGACCUGCGUUGUAUUAGCUAGUUGGUGAGGUAACGGCUCACCAAGGCGACGAUACAUAGCCGACCUGAGAGGGUGAUCGGCCACACUGGGACUGAGACACGGCCCAGACUCCUACGGGAGGCAGCAGUAGGGAAUCUUCGGCAAUGGACGGAAGUCUGACCGAGCAACGCCGCGUGAGUGAAGAAGGGUUUCGGAUCGUAAAGCUCUGUUGUAAGAGAAGAACGAGUGUGAGAGUGGAAAGUUCACACUGUGACGGUAUCUUAACAGAAAGGGACGGCUAACUACGUG
rnacentral:rRNA from 1 species